AGCAGCCGCGGUAAUUCCAGCUCCAAUAGCGUAUAUUAAAGUUGUUGCAGUUAAAAAGCUCGUAGUUGAAUUUCGGGAUCAAGGAAUCGGUCAUGCCUCGGUAUGUACUGGUUUUAUUGGUUCUCACCUUCUAAAGAACCAUGAUGUCAUUCAUUUGAUGUUAUGGGGAAUUAGGACUGUUACCUUGAAAAAAUUAGAGUGUUUAAAGCAAGCUUACGCUUGAAUACAUUAGCAUGGAAUAAUGAAAUAGGACAUCCGAUUCUAUUUUGUUGGUUUCUAGGAUCGAUGUAAUGAUUAAUAGGGAUAGUUGGGGGCAUUAGUGUUCAAUUGUCAGAGGUGAAAUUCUUGGAUUUAUUGAAGACUAACUACUGCGAAAGUAUUUGCCAAGGAUGUUUUCAUUAAUCAAGAACGAAAGUUAGGGGAUCGAAGACGAUCAGAUACCGUCGUAGUCUUAACCAUAAACUAUGCCGACUAGGGAUCGGAUGAUGUUAUUUUUAGUGACUCAUUCGGCUACCG
rnacentral:rRNA from 1 species